CCCAGUAUAGUGGUACGUAUUUCCUUUAGUAACAUGAAAAAAAAAAACCUUUGCAAAAAACUGCACAAUAAUGCUUUUACUCUCUGCAUUCAGUGAAAACACACAUGAUUUAUUGAGCACACAAGCCCAGAGCAGUUGGCAGCCAGUAAUGUGGUGCCUAUUAGAUAAUGAGGGUUAAGGCUUUGCUCACUUGGCAAAACCCUGAUAUAGACCCCACAAGCCUUUUAUUAUUAAUAAUAUUAUCAAGACUUUUAAAAUAAUAAACACCUGAGACAGUGCUGACUCUUCAUGAAUGAUCCUGUGGUGAAUGUGGUUCAGUGUUCUGCCCACUAAACCAUCAUUGGCUUCAAAUUAGUAUCGCAAUUAAUUUAACUGUUUACUUUUAGUCAACAUUUUUUUAAUAAUUAAAACGACAUAUAUGAUUGGUACAAAUUGCUCUGAUUGCUCACUAUUUGGGUUCCAUUUGUUGCUUGCAUGUAACAGAGAAAGAAAAGAUCAGGCUCAGAAUUAGUUUGAAAUCAAUUUCCAGUGUUGAAGAAACCACCUUAAAAGUAUUAACACAUGGGCAGAAGUAUGAGAGUAUAUAGGAUUGUAGGAGUAUUAAUAAAUCUACAUUUUACACCUGUACAGAUUGUCACUGGUCUUUUGCACACUUGUGCAUUCACAUACACCUGUUCACUGUCUUCACAAUCUCCCUCUAGCCAUCAUCUUUCUGUUUUGUUGACUAGGAUUUGUCACUGAGAUCAAAUUGUAUCAGUACCUAUGGUCUCGCCACAGGAAGAAUUUGUCAUCGCCCCCAUUGAUUGGUCUGCAACUUUUCACAGUACUUGUGGACAGGAGUCAGUACUCAAGCACAGAAAUCUAUCUGUGCCAUGCGUGUGAGAUCAACAUCUCAACAUCUGCUUCCUCUCAUCUCACCUCCAUGCAACACUAUUUCAAUGUUUUUGCACACUCAAAACCGGAUCUAGUGUUCCUUGGUUCUCAAAAUUUGAACCAGAUCACAGAGCUUGCUCAAGAAGAAGAACUGAAGCAAGGAAAGCCCAUACUGCAGGUGUGUGAGGUUCCAAAUCAUCUGUGCAGGAUAUUCAAGAACUUGUCUUAUGAGAGAAGUAAGGCUAAUAAAUUCUGUUUGCAACAAAGGUCUUGUAUAUGUAUUGAUAAUUUUACAAAAAGGGGAGAAGAAUCAUUACUAGUAGAUAUUUCUGUUGGACAAAAUUAUAAAAUAUUUGUUGUGUGUAAUGAAUUUGUUUUUCCUUCCCUUAUUCUCACUAGUCAUGGCAACAAUUGAGGAGCAGUAUUCAGAGAUGAACAAAUGUGCUGGAGGUUUGUAUUCCUGUUUUGAGUUAAAAUACAUCCUCCUUUUUUUCUUUUUUUUUUUUUUUUUUUUUGACUAAGUUCUAAACAGUUUUGUUUUUUUUUUUUUUUUUUUUUUUUGGCACCCCUCCGCACUUUAAAAAUGCAGUAGUAGAUCACAUCACGUAGUUGUCGUGGUAAAAAUCUAUCCAUCAAAUAUAUAAGUUGGAGCCUUUGACUAACAUUUUAUUAAGCGCAAAAGAGAGCAGGCAGAGAAAACUGGGUUAUACAGGUCCUUCUCAAAAAAUUAGCAUAUUGUGACAGUUCAUUCUUUUGCAUAAUGAAAUGAUAAAAAUUACUUUCAUAUAUUUUAGAUUCAUUGCACACCAACUAAAAUAUUUCAGGUCUUUUAUUAUUUAAUACUGAUGAAUUUGGCAUACAGCUCAUGAAAACCCAAAAUUCCUAUCUCACAAAAUUACCAUAUCAUGAAAAGGUUCUCCUAAAUGAGCUAUGAACCUAAUCAUCUGAAUCAACGAAUUAACUCUAAACACCUGCAAAAGAUUCCUGAGGCUUUUAAAAACUCCCAGCCUGGUUCAUUACUCAAAACCGCAAACAUGGGUAAGACUGCCGACCUGACUGCUGUCCAGAAGGCCAUCAUUGACCCUCAAGCAAGAGGGUAAGACACAGAAAGAAAUUUCUGAACGAAUAGGCUGUUCCCAGAGUGCUGUAUCAAGGAAGUCUGUGGGAAGGAAAAAGUGUGGAAGAAAACGCUGCACAGCGAGAAGAGGUGACCGGACCCUGAGGAAGAUUGUGGAGAAGGGCCGAUUCCAGACCUUGGGGACCUGCGGAAGCAGUGGACUGAGUCUGGAGUAGAAACAUCCAGAGCCACCG
rnacentral:lncRNA from 1 species